rnacentral:rRNA from 1 species
GAUGAACGCUGGCGGCGUGCCUAAUACAUGCAAGUCGAGCGAACAGAUGAGGAGCUUGCUCCUCUGACGUUAGCGGCGGACGGGUGAGUAACACGUGGAUAACCUACCUAUAAGACUGGGAUAACUUCGGGAAAACGGAGCUAAUACCGGAUAAUAUAUUGAACCGCAUGGUUCAAUAGUGAAAGACGGUUUUGCUGUCACUUAUAGAUGGAUCCGCGCCGCAUUAGCUAGUUGGUAAGGUAACGGCUUACCAAGGCAACGAUGCGUAGCCGACCUGAGAGGGUGAUCGGCCACACUGGAACUGAGACACGGUCCAGACUCCUACGGGAGGCAGCAGUAGGGAAUCUUCCGCAAUGGGCGAAAGCUUGACGGAGCAACGCCGCGUGAGUGAUGAAGGUCUUCGGAUCGUAAAACUCUGUUAUUAGGGAAGAACAAAUGUGUAAGUAACUAUGCACGUCUUGACGGUACCUAAUCAGAAAGCCACGGCUAACUACGUG